UUCAUCAAGAUCGGCUGAGGGACAGGCCCUAUGAAGCCGUAGCAACCAUUGGUAUUUCUAUACUCAAAAGGUGCUAAUUCCUGCAAAGAUUUUUUGUGAAUCUUUGGAAGAUGAA
rnacentral:ncRNA from 1 species